CGCGGGGUUUUCUGAAAGUGUGCACGGAGAAUGACACGUGUUUCCGUUUCAACGAAAACAACACAGCUUCACCGUGACUGUCACAACCAACGCUUGUAUUUUACAUCUUUAAAACGACCUGAUGUCAGAAGAAGAUGCCCUGGAUCGCCUGUUGCAGGAUGACCCAAACGAUCAUGCAUUCAGUAUAAAUACGUACAUGGUAUUGACAUCCCAAUAUUUAGUGGGAAGUUCCCAGGUAUCAUCCGCUAGCGACAGUCUACUGACAAAUCCAGACAUGCAUUGGAAGGAUGCUGAUAUGGAGGACACAGGAACACCUGAUCCCAGAACUGUGGCAUUUCAUUCGGGGUGACAACCUGGCUUUCAGUUGAUAUGGGACCCUAUUAUUCGGAGAACUGCAGAUUUUAUGAAGCUGUCUUUGACAGAAGAUUUGGUUUUCUCCAUCUGUGUUGCCACCAACCAUUAUGCUGAGAUGGUCACAUCUAGGGGGAAGGGUUGCCAUAUACUUCCCAAGGAAGUUUGCAGCCUCUCACUGAAGAGGAACUGUACAGAUUUUUGUGCAUUAUCUUAUACACGCCUGCUGUGAAGUUCCAGUCGAUAGACAGAUAUUGGUCAACGCAUGUCCCUAUCGGAACAACUCGUUAUAAAGAAUUAUGUCUAGAAAUAGGUUUCAAGAGGUUGAAUAUAAGAACAUUUUUGUUAAAUAUGAUGCAAGUACAUUUAAAUCUAGUGAUUGAAAGUAAGUACUUGAACAUUCGCUUAUGUUGAACUUGGAGAGGAAAAAUGGUUAGUACUUUUUGAUAACAUUUGAUAAGGUGUUGUUGCUUAGCAACCAAAUAUAACUGAAUAAAAAAUAGAUUAUUUUAGAUUAACAAUAAUUGAAAGAUUUUUGUUUUAAUGUUGCAAUACUUAUUCUAUUUAAUGGAACAUAAUGGCAAAACGUCAUAUUAUUAGAAAAUGAUGAACAAGUAUAUAAAGUACGAAGUUUCCAUUUGAUGACCUUUGACCUUAAUUCUCUUCAUACAUUUUUUGUUAAAAACCUUUUAAAAUGAUUAAGAUCUAUUUAAAGAUUAUAUUUUAAGAUAAUGUGACAUUUACUAAUCAUCAUGGAUUGUAAUUACGUUUAAAUUGUGUCGAAUGGAUGCAGAAAGGCAAAUUAUGGUCAAAAUUGUACUAUGAGUGUUGUUACUUAGCAACCAAAAAUAUUUGUUUGUCAAUAAAAUUGAUUAGUUUGA